rnacentral:rRNA from 1 species
CCCUUAGAUGUUCUGGGCCGCACGCGCGCUACACUGAUCGAUUCAACGAGUUUUGAAAUAAUUUUUAUAAUUUUUCAUAUCCUUUGUCGGAAGGCAUGGGUAAUCUUUUAAAUGUCGAUCGUGAUGGGGCUAGAUUCUUGCAAUUAUUAAUCUCCAACGAGGAAUUCCUAGUAAACGCAAGUCAUCAGCUUGCAUUGAUUACGUCCCUGCCCUUUGUACACACCGCCCGUCGCACCUACCGAUUGAGUGGUCCGGUGAGGCUUUGGGAUCUGAGCGGAAAGAGCGUUUCGCUGUUUCUGCUCGGAAAACUCAGUCGAACCUUAUCAUUUAGAGGAAGGAGAAGUCGUAACA